GAGCGCUUCGCAAAGAAGGUGUUCGGCGUUGAUGACGCCGAUGCAGGUAUUACCAGGAUGACCGAAUGGUUCAGCGCCAUCGGCGCUCC
rnacentral:tRNA from 1 species